AUACUCGCCUGCCAGGGGAGAUACCAUGAUCACAAAAGUGGUUUGCCAGGGUAAGGCUCAUCCAUCGCGCUCCCCAUGUGCAGACUCCUGUGAUUUCCCCAAAUGUAAGACUCUCAACUGCAUGAUUUGUAGUAGUGGGGGACUGCGUUUGUGCUUUCCCCUG
ensembl:snRNA U1 U1 spliceosomal RNA